rnacentral:tRNA from 1 species
AGAGUAUAGCUCAGUGGUAGAGCGUGUGCUUAGCAUGCACGUGGUCAUGGGUUCAGUCCCCAGUACCUCUG